AGUUUCCAGGGGAGCCCAGGUCUUGUAGUGGGGGCGGUGGGGAAUGGAGGAGUCCCAGGGAAGGGGACGUCUCCUCUACCUGGGCCAGGCUGGGAAGGCUUCAUGGUGGAGACGGCGGGCCCAGGCGCGUGGGCCCGGAGUGGGGCGGGAAAUGCGCUGGGGAGGCGAGGCUGUGCCGGGAUGCUGGGCCCAGCCUCUCCUGGGCCCCUAGAGCCAGCCCGGGAAAGAGGAGUUUAAGACCAAGCAUGUUCUGAGAACACCACACAGCAAGUACUGGGCUACAUGUUGUACAGACAUUCUCAUCAUGUCACUGGAACUUCUCAGCUAACCUGAGGUCAGAACCUUCUGAAAACCUGGGAAACUUUCUGUAGUCAGAAUCCACUACUCUACCACUAAUGUCUCUUCCAUCCGGCUCUGCAGCACCUGAGCAAAAGACCUCUGCAGCUGAGUCCAAAGAGCAUUCCCAUGUGAACCGAGCAACCAAGUAUCAUCG